rnacentral:lncRNA from 1 species
CGACAUAUUACAACCAUAGUUUGAAACAACUUAAUCAUGCAGGUCAGCGUGGUUCUAAGAAUUUAAAACCAGUCCGGAAGAAAAACAACAAUUAAGUUUUAUUCUAGAGUAUCAUGAGACUCAUAAGAUACCCUAGGUCUUCGGGGCUUCCUCUUCGGUGAGUCCCUGCUGGCUUUCUGAAAACAACAACAAGGGAUCCCCUGAGUACGAAGUACUCAGCAAGUCUUACCCGACUAACCAAUAUAAUAGUUUUCUUUGGAAUGCAUGUCAGCCUUUGGGUGUGCUUGGUUGACACAAUUUUUGCCGAAAAAGCUUACUACGAGUGAGGCCUUAGUUUUAUCUUUUACUUUAGUUAAGUCAUUACCUAACCAUUCUAGAUGAUAGCAGAAGUAAAAGCAACCACAGCUGUUAAGUCAUACAUUACUUGACAACAGGAGAUUUUAUAUCGCAUGAGUUGAUACUACGAUGCUCAACAGUGAUCAAGUGCAUUCAUAACCGAGAAUUGCGGCGAUCCGGAUCAAAUUACAUCCUGCAGGAGAGUACCCCGAUCACCAGCAUUAUACGACUGUUCCGGUCGUAUCUCACAACCUCUCGAUUAGCAAAGUCAAUGAUUAGGAAUACAACUACCCGGACCCAGGGAUGCACCCCCACAUGGGACCCCACGUCUGGCCUGAUCUCCAUGUGAGUUUCAGGCUACACCCCUGCCAAUCUCCAGCACGUCAAAUGCGGGUACGAAGCAUUCCUGAUCAUAGAAUUUACUAAUCUACUGGGCUUUACUGGUCCCAUACCCAGUAAGUGAUCAGAUGUUAUCACUUGAUCAGCGGUUAAGACACGAAUCGGGCCUUAACCAGAUUAAUCUAGCAGACAGAACUACAUCUCUAGCUUCUGUCCGUAUUCAUAUUCCAGACUAUCCUUCAUAAGCAACAUGUAUGACUUAAGAGUUUUCCUUAAGGUUGGUAAACCAAUCAUGUAAGCAAGUAAGCAAUUCUAGACUUGGGUAGUUUCUAGGGUUUGAACAAGUGGCAAAGAUGUCCUUAAAUCAAGGCAUGAUCAUACACAAGAAUAGGUUUCAUCCAACUCCUAGACUCAGUGCAUGUAAUAAACAAAUAACCUAUAACUAGUCACAUGAAAUAACGACUCCAAAAUAGAUAGGUAUAAAUGCACCGGGGCUUGCCUGGGAUCAACAAGGUUAGUUCUUCGGAAAACUUCUUUAUUAAAAGAGGCACUCCAUAUUUCGCGAAUGAUGUCCAUCUCCAGCUGAAAUCCAUGACUUCCACUUCAGGAGUUGUGCCGUCUACGAUUCAGUAUAUGCAAGAGUUAGAGAUGCAAAUUUUUGAAUACAAGACUAUACAACUUUCCUUCAUGAUAAAGUUGCAAGCCAACAAGGACUAUACAAUUUAUCAUGAUAAAGUUGCAAGCCAACACACAAAAACCCGAAAAGAUUAGCCCACCAUUUUUAUUUCCUUUACUAAACCUACCUUAGACCUUUUUAUUUAUUUUUAAAAGCAUUAUAAUAAUUUUCUAAUCUCAAAAACCUAAUUCCUAUGAAUUAAUAAUGAUUUGUGGAUAAUAAAGCAUUUUUCAAAUUUUUAUACAUUUAAUAAAGUUUAAGCAUUUAUUUAAAUACCUUAGAUAAAAAGGCAUUAAAUAAAUACCAAAAUUUUUAUUAUUUUUCCUAGGGUUUAAGAAUUUUAAUGCAUAAAGGAAAAUAAAACAAUCCUAAUAAAAUUGGUUUCACUAAUUUUGGGCACUUCUAAAAUUUCCUGGAAUUAAAUGGUGAAAACCCUAUUUAAUCUAUUUAUCUAAUAAAAGAAAACCUAAAGUUUAAAUAAAACCCCCGGCCCAAGCUUUUCUCACCCGACUUGCUUCUACCCACUAUCACUUCCACCUAUGGCCCAUCCGGUCUCCUAUUCUCCUUCUUCUUUUCUUCUCUGACAAGUGGGGCCCACGGCCGAAUUUUUCCCUUGGGCCGAAAAGUGGCCCGUCAACUUUAACCUUCCACGCGUGGCCUUUUUGCGGCAGCCUUCUCUUUGGGCCGACUUCCCCCUUCUCUCCUUUUUCUCAACCUUGGUCCAAACUUAUCUCACUCGCACUGGGCCCAAAAGCCGGUCCAUCAAAUCUUCUGUUCCCUUUUCCCCCGGCGCAUGGGCUGGUUUGAACCGGCGCAACGAGCGCCCAAAAUAAAUGGGCCUCCGUGCGGCCGGCCUGCCUUUCUUACAGGCCGACAGCCUAAUCCCCUUCUUUUCAACCACCCGCCGGCCCUCUUUCUUUUUCUUGGACAGCUUGCGGGCCAGCUGGGCUGGCGUCUCCCCUUGGCCCAUGACGGACGGCUGCCCUCUUUUCUUUUGCUCUCCUUCCCACCUGGGCCUCUCCCACCGGGACUUGGCAUUCCCGGCCCAAGUACAUUGACUGGCCUGCUUCCUUCCUUUCUUCUUCUAUGCCGCACGGGCUCAGCUGGGCCGAUUCCCUUCCUUGGCCCAAGACGACGCUGGCCCUCUCUUCCUUUUCUCUUGCUCCCACCUGGGCUUCUCCUACCGCACACUGGCAACACGGCCCAAGCACACGGACCGGCCUGCUUCACCCCCCCCUUUCUCCUUCCAAUCCUCUGGCGCAUGUCUUCUUCUUCCUUGCGCCCAAAACAGAGGCGCAAAUCGCAGGGGGCGGAAGCUCGCCGGCGGCGCCUCCCCGGCGGCGCGGCCGGGCUGGGGGCAUCUCCAAGCCGAGACUCCCCCACAGGUGGCGGCGGCACUCCCGGAGGUGGCCUGUGUCGGGCUCCCCACGGGCGGCGGCACCAUGGCCGGCGGCCGGCCGUGGCCUCACAAAACGACGGCACAACCGGGUCCCUGGCCUCCCCCUACAGCUUCUAUACUCUUGCAGGACACCCCUAGGCCCGCCAAUCGAGAAGGAAAAGCCGAUUCAGGAGCUCACCUUGGGGAUUGGAUGACGGCGGCCGGCGGACAGUAACGGCGGCGAUUCGUAGCUUGCCGGCGAAAAACUGGGCGACGGUUAGCCUUAGGGCGUCAUGGUGAGGCUACAGGGGCUGUUGGUGGGCGGUGGCGCAAAAGGAAACGGUGGCGUGGUGUUGGCCGGCGGCGGCACUGACUUGCUCGAGCUCUGCUCCUGUCGACGUAAAACGGCCGGGUGAAAAGGAUAAGCGCGGGGAUAACAGCAUCGUGGUCUUUCACCGUGCAUGCGUGCCACC